AACUGAAAGUUAGCAAAAACUGAUAUAUCCCAACAACUUAAUUACAAGUGGACUCACUUUAGAAAUAAAAAUGACCUUGUUGGAGAAGAACCAAAGUUUACCUUCUAUGAUCCUGUGACGAAAAUGGCCUAUAUAAAUACAUUUGGAAUGAGUGAAUCAGAAUUCGAAUCUGUUGGUGGUGAUUAUGUGGUGAACAUCUCUCACCUGUAUGAUUACAGAAUUGAACGUAUUCAUGUCACACUUCAAGACAAGCCUGCUCCAGACGAUAUGUCUGGUCAAUCAAAUUUGGUUCCCAGAAUUCUCUACUUUUUGACAACAAGUCUGACUUUAUUCUUUUCAUUGUGAAAGCAUAAAACUUCUUUUAACCUGUGUAAAAUAUACCAAAUAAAUAUAAAUCAAAAUAUA
rnacentral:sRNA from 1 species